CCUACGGGCGGCUGCAGUGGGGAAUAUUGGACAAUGGGCGAAAGCCUGAUCUAGCCAUGCCGCGUGUGUGAAGAAGGCCUUCGGGUUGUAAAGCACUUUCAGUGGGGAAGAAAGCCUUGGGGCUAAUACCCUCGAGGAAGGACAUCACCCACAGAAGAAGCACCGGCUAACUCCGUGCCAGCAGCCGCGGUAAUACGGAGGGUGCGAGCGUUAAUCGGAAUUACUGGGCGUAAAGCGCGCGUAGGCGGUCUGAUAAGCCGGUUGUGAAAGCCCCGGGCUCAACCUGGGAACGGCAUCCGGAACUGUCAGGCUAGAGUGCAGGAGAGGAAGGUAGAAUUCCCGGUGUAGCGGUGAAAUGCGUAGAGAUCGGGAGGAAUACCAGUGGCGAAGGCGGCCUUCUGGACUGACACUGACGCUGAGGUGCGAAAGCGUGGGUAGCAAACAGGAUUAGAUACCCCAGUAGU
rnacentral:rRNA from 1 species